ACCAGACCUGGUGUUCUGGGAUCUGGUGUGAAAACAGAAUCACUGCCUCACUUAUUAUUCUUCAGAGAACAAUUUUUAUUUCUCUGUCUCUAAAUGUCACAAGCCUUUUCCAAUGUUCAAGAAGAAAAGAUGUCUCCAGGUUGCUGUGCAGGACAAUGAGCACAAGUUCCCUUUUUUUGCUUCAUGCUGGAGAAUCUCCAAG
rnacentral:lncRNA from 1 species